rnacentral:rRNA from 1 species
AGUGAACGCUGGCGGUAGGCCUAACACAUGCAAGUCGAACGGCAGCACAGUAAGAGCUUGCUCUUACGGGUGGCGAGUGGCGGACGGGUGAGGAAUACAUCGGAAUCUACUUUUUCGUGGGGGAUAACGUGGGGAAACUUACGCUAAUACCGCAUACGACCUACGGGUGAAAGCAGGGGAUCUUCGGACCUUGCGCGACUGAAUGAGCCGAUGUCGGAUUAGCUAGUUGGCGGGGUAAAGGCCCACCAAGGCGACGAUCCGUAGCUGGUCUGAGAGGAUGAUCAGCCACACUGGAACUGAGACACGGUCCAGACUCCUACGGGAGGCAGCAGUGGGGAAUAUUGGACAAUGGGCGCAAGCCUGAUCCAGCCAUGCCGCGUGGGUGAAGAAGGCCUUCGGGUUGUAAAGCCCUUUUGUUGGGAAAGAAAAGCAGCAGGUUAAUACCCCGCUGUUCUGACGGUACCCAAAGAAUAAGCACCGGCUAACUUCGUG